UGCUCAAAUUAUGUCACGCUUGGCAGAGGAAAUCAAAUGCCCAAACUUCUCUGCCAAUUCAACUACUUUUUCCUUCAUUCACACAAUCAAAGUCUAUUUCCUACACUCUAUUUUCUUUCAUUCACACAUCUAUUUCAGUCACCCCACCCUGUGCAUCCCUUUAUCUCAUCAUCCAAAGUCCUCCUUCAUCCCACACAACACUCUCUCGCCAAGAAUAGCAGAGCAACCAAGCAACGACCAUUUCAGAUUUUGAGCAGCUCACUCAAACUCAAGGCUUUGAGCAUCAGGAGGAUUAGCACUGCUAUUCCGAUUCAGAAAUAUGGAUAAACGACAGGCUUUGCCUAUACAGGUUGAGUAGCUGUCGAUGGUGAUGAAGUGACGACCGGAGUCUUUUGUCUUAUCCUUAUGUAUUAAUGAACUCUGGGGAUACAUGUCUUCAUACAUGUAAUCAGAACCUUAUUCCGCUGCGUACUCAGAAGUUUUAUGUUAUUUUGGCUAAGUCGGAGUUAUCCGAACUUACUAGUUAUUUGAGUCUAUACGACUAAAUCUCCGUUAUAUUAUAAAUAUCCCUUUUGUUAACAAUGAUGAAAUGCGAUCCUUCCUUGUUUGAUUAUCCCCCUUUCUACCCCGCUUCUAAUCUCCCUCCAUUAGUCACGGUUUUCCCGGCUUAAUUAUCCUUA